rnacentral:rRNA from 1 species
CCUACGGGGCGCACCAGUGGGGAAUAUUGCACAAUGGGCGCAAGCCUGAUGCAGCCAUGCCGCGUGUAUGAAGAAGGCCUUAGGGUUGUAAAGUACUUUCAGUUGGAGGAAGGCGUUGAUGCUAAUAUCAUCAACGAUUGACGUUACCAACAGAAGAAACACCGGCUAACUCCGUGCCAGCAGCCGCGGUAAUACGGAGGGUGCAAGCGUUAAUCGGAAUUACUGGGCGUAAAGCGCACGCAGGCGGUUGAUUAAGUUAGAUGUGAAAUCCCCGGGCUUAACCUGGGAAUGGCAUCUAGGACUGGUCAGCUAGAGUCUUGUAGAGGGGGGUAGAAUUCCAUGUGUAGCGGUGAAAUGCGUAGAGAUGUGGAGGAAUACCGGUGGCGAAGGCGGCCCCCUGGACAAAGACUGACGCUCAGGUGCGAAAGCGUGGGGAGCAAACAGGAUUAGAUACCCCAGUAGUC